GGCAGUCAGAGGCGAUGAAGGACGUGCUAAUCUGCGAUAAGCGUCGGUAAGGUGAUAUGAACCGUUAUAACCGGCGAUUUCCGAAUGGGGAAACCCAGUGUGUUUCGACACACUAUCAUUAACUGAAUCCAUAGGUUAAUGAGGCGAACCGGGGGAACUGAAACAUCUAAGUACCCCGAGGAAAAGAAAUCAACCGAGAUUCCCCCAGUAGCGGCGAGCGAACGGGGAGCAGCCCAGAGCCUGAAUCAGUGUGUGUGUUAGUGGAAGCGUCUGGAAAGGCGCGCGAUACAGGGUGACAGCCCCGUACACAAAAAUGCACAUGCUGUGAGCUCGAUGAGUAGGGCGGGACACGUGGUAUCCUGUCUGAAUAUGGGGGGACCAUCCUCCAAGGCUAAAUACUCCUGACUGACCGAUAGUGAACCAGUACCGUGAGGGAAAGGCGAAAAGAACCCCGGCGAGGGGAGUGAAAAAGAACCUGAAACCGUGUACGUACAAGCAGUGGGAGCACGCUUAGGCGUGUGACUGCGUACCUUUUGUAUAAUGGGUCAGCGACUUAUAUUCUGUAGCAAGGUUAACCGAAUAGGGGAGCCGAAGGGAAACCGAGUCUUAACUGGGCGUUAAGUUGCAGGGUAUAGACCCGAAACCCGGUGAUCUAGCCAUGGGCAGGUUGAAGGUUGGGUAACACUAACUGGAGGACCGAACCGACUAAUGUUGAAAAAUUAGCGGAUGACUUGUGGCUGGGGGUGAAAGGCCAAUCAAACCGGGAGAUAGCUGGUUCUCCCCGAAAGCUAUUUAGGUAGCGCCUCGUGAAUUCAUCUCCGGGGGUAGAGCACUGUUUCGGCAAGGGGGUCAUCCCGACUUACCAACCCGAUGCAAACUGCGAAUACCGGAGAAUGUUAUCACGGGAGACACACGGCGGGUGCUAACGUCCGUCGUGAAGAGGGAAACAACCCAGACCGCCAGCUAAGGUCCCAAAGUCAUGGUUAAGUGGGAAACGAUGUGGGAAGGCCCAGACAGCCAGGAUGUUGGCUUAGAAGCAGCCAUCAUUUAAAGAAAGCGUAAUAGCUCACUGGUCGAGUCGGCCUGCGCGGAAGAUGUAACGGGGCUAAACCAUGCACCGAAGCUGCGGCAGCGAC
rnacentral:rRNA from 1 species